rnacentral:rRNA from 1 species
GACGAACGCUGGCGGCGUGCCUAACACAUGCAAGUCGAACGGAAAGACCCUGCGUUUGUGGGGUUCUCGGUUGCCGAACGCGGGAGUAACACGUGAGUAUCCUGCCCUUGUCUUUCGGAUAACUUCAGGAAACUGGGGCUAAUACAGGAUAGGAGCUCCUGCUCCGUGGUGGGGAUUGGAAAUUUUCGGCGGUGGGGGAUGGACUGGCGGCUUACCGGCUUGUUGGUGGGGUAGUGGCUGACCAAGUCUUUGAAGGGUACCCGGCAUGAGAGGGUGACCGGCCACAUUGGGACUACGAGACGGCCCAGACGCCUACGGGAGGCAGCGGGGGGAAAUAUUGAACAAUGGGCGGAAGCCGGAUGAAGAAGCGCUGCGUGUGGGAUGACGGCCUUCGGGGUGUAAAACGCUUUCGCCUGUGACGAAGCGUGAGUGACGGUAAUGGGUAAAGAAGCACCGGCUAACUACGUG